UGCCUAAUAAUUAUGCACACCUGAUAUAGGGUGUUGAUGUCAUUAGACCACACCCCUUCUCAUUACAGAGAUGCACAUCACCUAAUAUGCUUAAUUGGUAGUAGGCUUUCGAGCCUAUAGGGCUUUGGAGCGUGAUGUCACUGGAGGUGGGCCACGCCCCCUUCCGCCAUGACAGUAGGCUAGACACAGGAUACAGCUUCAGCUAUGGUUCGUAUGUGUUGUGUUAUCAGUUGCAACGUUUGAUCACACGAUCGUGAAGGCAAGAAGCUGGAUAAUGGGCUCUCUUUUCAUCGUUUUUCAACCUGGAGGCAACGUGAGGGAUCCCAUGUAUCCGAUAUUACUAAACAAAGACGUCAGGCUUGCAUUGCAGCGGUGAGACGAGCGGAUCGAGUUCUGUGCAAUCCCCAGCUUUUUGUUGGUUUGGUCUCUGCAUCUUCUUUCCGGCUUUUAUGCAGCUGCAGAGUCUGAAGGUGUGCCCCGUGCAGAAGUAAUCGAUGAAGAUCUGACAGAAGAACAACAACAAAAUUACAAUGUCAUAGCUGUGGACAGCAGUUGUGUUGGACAAGUGGAGGUUGAGGUACCACCUGUAAAUGUGGACAGUGGUGAUCGGACAGACAGCAUCACAGAAGCUAAAGGGCAGACGAAGCAUUGUGUGUGCAAUGAACAGGGCAGAGCAGAAAUAAACACAACACGGCUUGAUAAGAUUGUUAAGGUUUGCUGUGUUUUGGUGAAUAUGUGCCCCAGUGUGGUUGUCAAACCAGCGCCAAAUGAAACUUGCUCUUGUUGAGUAUUCAUAAAGCUGUUGUGUUGCAUGUGUAGUUCAUUGUAAAUAAUUGUACUUUGUGUGAAGUAGUUUCAAUAAAACAGAAAAGAAUAGUAUACAUGGUGUUUUUUGUUUUUUUUUUUAUUCUUGAUCUUAUCACAUGUACUUUGCAUUUCAUUUUUAUGUACUUGCUAACUAUUUACAUGGCAACACACAGCUGGCAUCAAUCUUGAACCACAAAAUGAAACAUUAGAGGCUAUUUAGAGCAGCACGUUGUUUGGAGAAGUAUUUCCCAACAAGUUCAGGAAGACACACUUUAAGAAAGAAGUCUUGUGCUUGCUUUAAACGUGGUUCCCAGAAAUCCACAUCAGGGAAGAUGCGUAUGACAGAAGGUCUCUCUGUGUCCACACAAACGAGGUCACAGUGCAGUUUCAUUCAGUCGUUGUGAGUGCAGUACCUGAAACACACAAAAACCACUUUUAAUAAAAGGUCUGUAAUGACCCAAGGCUAAUAUAGAUGGGUUGGCUGUACGUGCAAAUCAAAAACUGUAACAAGGAAGUUGUUUAGAAAGUUAUCAAGUUCAAACCGACUUACCUUUGUCUUAACGACAACGUACUCGCAGCGUGGAGGCAUAAAGAUGGACAAAUCUUGCACCCAGCCGUUCGUGAAUUGGAUGUGGGCCUCCAGGGAUUUAUAAUUCUUAAACUGGUUUGCUGUGUAUGCGCUGACUCCACAGACAAGGUAUGCAAAGAUCGGGAUAGGACAACGGCGGUAGGUCGUCUGGGUUUCCACUCCGCUUCCUUAUUUCAUACGGGUCCACAUUACCGAUGCACGCAAUUUUUUGAAAGUACCGUCUCUUGGCGUCUGGGCGCAAUCGGUCGCGAUACAGCCCUUUGUCUGUGGAGUCAGCGCAUACACAGCAAACCAGUUUAAGAAUUAUGCUUAUUAUUAUUAAUAAGAACCUUCAGACUCUGCAGCUGCAUAACAAAAGCCUGUAAGAUAAAAUUAGUGCACAUGACAGGUGUGUGAUUCAUCUGGAAGUUAUGUGCGGAUUAGUGUACAAUGAGAGCAAUUUAGUAUGUUUUUAGAGGCCCAUGAGCAGUGUUGGUGCCCAGUCUGGAUUUGUUACAUCCAUUUCAUAUGCUGGUUUGCCUGCAAUAAUGCUAAAUCAUAAGCUACUCAGUCGACAUGAUGACAUGACGUGGUUCUGCAGCAUCACACAUUAGCAUGUUUUAUCUCAUUAUCUAUGACCUCAGCACAUUGAAAAUAACACUAAAAGCAUUUUAAUAGUGAUAUGAAUUAAUUUAGAACUCACCGGAAAGAAGAUGCAGAGACCAAACCAACAAAAAGCUGGGAUUGCACAGAACUCGAUCCGCUCGUCUCACCGCUGCAAUGCAAGCCUGACGUCUUUGUUUAGUAAUAUCGGAUACAUGGGAUCCCUCACGUUGCCUCCAGGUUGAAAAACGAUGAAAAGAGAGCCCAUUAUCCAGCUUCUUGCCUUCACGAUCGUGUGAUCAAACGUUGCAACUGAUAACACAACACAUACGAACCAUAGCUGAAGCUGUAUCCUGUGUCUAGCCUACUGUCAUGGCGGAAAGGGGGCGUGGCCCACCUCCAGUGACGUCAACUCCAAAGCCCUAUACAGCUUGGAGUAAGACAACAUGCAUGAAGAGGAUGAUGUGGACAAAAUACUCAUUUGCCUAAUAAUUCUGCACUCCCUGUAUUGUAUGCCAACACCAAGGAGGCAUACAUCUCAU
ensembl:lncRNA